AUUGAACGCUGGCGGCAGGCCUAACACAUGCAAGUCGAACGAGUGGCGGACGGGUGAGUAAUGUCUGGGAAACUGCCUGAUGGAGGGGGAUAACUACUGGAAACGGUAGCUAAUACCGCAUACCAUCGGAUGUGCCCAGAUGGGAUUAGCUAGUAGGUGGGGUAAAGGCUCACCUAGGCGACGAUCCCUUGCUGGUCUGAGAGGAUGACCAGCCACACUGGAACUGAGGCACGGUCCAGAAUCCUACGAGAGGCAGCAGUGAGGAAUAUUGCACGAUGGGCGCAAGCCUGAUGCAGCCAUGCCGCGUGUAUGAAGAAGGCCGUCGGGUUGGAAAGUACUUUCAGCGGGGAGGCGUUACCCGCAGAAGAAGCACCGGCUAACUCCGUGCCAGCAGCCGCGGUAAUAC
rnacentral:rRNA from 1 species